ensembl:lncRNA
UGAGAUGGAGAGAGGGUCCUGAUUAUCCAGGUGGGCCCAAUAUAAUCAGAGGGUCCUUAAAAGUGGAAGAGGGCUGCAGGAGAGUCGGUGUCGGAGGGAUGUGGCAUGCAAAAGACUAUCUACCAUGGCUGGCUUUAAAGAUGGAAGGAGGCCGUGAGCCAACGGAUGCAGCAUUUCCUAGAAGGUGGAAAAGAACAUAGAAGCUGAAAGACCGGGAGAGAAGGAUCACUUUCGUAUAGGCCUGGUAACCCCAUGACUGCCUGCAAUCAAGAAAAUUGUACCACAUAAACCACUGUUCAGAGAGAAUGCUGUUCAUUUGCCAGUAUCUUUUUUUUUCUUCUGGGCACGCAGCUAGGCUGUAUUUCCCAGUCUCCUCUGCUGUUAGGUGGAGCCAUAUAACUGAGUUCUGGCCAACGGAACAAGAGGCAAUCAUGGGUCUAGUGGCUGGAUGUGGAGAUCUGGUGAACUCCAAGACCCUGGAGAUUGGUGAAGCCCCUAGACUGGAAGCAUCCUGGGUUCCUAAGUUGCCAUGUGGAAUAAAGCUACCCAGGAGACCCACCCAACCACAGACACCUGUGUUGGACUGUUUCAGGUCAAAAAAUAAUUUUUUUAUUAUUUAAAACCACUGAAAUAUUGGUGCCUUUAUUACAAUUCAGAGACUGGUACCUCUAAGUUGGGUGCUGCCAUAGCAUAAAUCUAAAAUACACGAGUGAGUUGGCGAAUGGUAAGGAAACAUGGUAGUAGCUGAAUGAUGGAUACUAGGCUAUAAAGUAGCAAGACACUGAAAAAUGGUCACCUGCAGUAACUUAAAGAAGACCGUGUGUUUACUGAACCAGGGCUCUGAGGAAGCGGUUGGGAAUAAUUUGAGUGCUGGUGCCUGCUGGCUACUAUUAGCUGUCUUUGGUAAUGUUUUAUAGGAAAGAGAUGAGUUCAGGAUGGAGUUGGCUGGUCUGCAAGCUGAAAUGAAAGGGAACAGUCAAGAAACCUGGGGCAAUGAAAUGUUAGGAUAGCUGAUACCUUUGAGAUUACCAAAUAAUAAGAGAUAAGGCUUUGAGUAUUAGAGCCAGUGAUAUUCCUCAGUUAAACACAAGACUCAGCCCAGCGGCAAAGAUCAGAUUAGGAAUGUGGCCUUCCCAUAUGUUCUUUUAGAUGGAUACGGGAUAGAGACACAUUCUCUCUUCCUUUGUGGGCCAGAAGCAUAGAUCCAGGAAAGGUCUCUGACGGCCUAGGGCAGAGGUCCACAAAGAGCCUAUGGGCUAAUGGUCUAUGGCUGUUUCAUGCUACAGAGUUGCGUACUUAUGACAAGACACUAUAGAGCCUAGAAAGCCUAGAAUAUUUACUAGCUGGCCCUCUACAGAAAAAGUUUGCCAACCCCUGCUCUAGGGAAUGGCAGAGCCCCUAGACAGAAGGUGCCUGGCUUCCCAGUCACAACCAUCUCUUGGAGGAGAGCCAAUAACCCAGGAACACACACCCUGCCCUUUGACUGCGUUUACACCUUUAGUUCCUCUGGUUCUCAGGCCUUUGGAUUCUGACUGAAUUAUACCACCAGGAUUCCUGGGUCUCCAGCUUGCAGAGGGCAGCCUGUGGGACUUCUCACCCUCUGCAAUCACAUGAGCCAAUUCCUAUACCACGUAGCAUACAUCCACUUGUCCUAUUGGUUCUGUUUUCUGGAGAAACCCUGACUACUAGAGUUGUUGCUGAUGCUGUGGAUAGUGCUAUUUUAAACAGAUAAAUUGUCUAGUACAUGUAUUUUUUCCCAACUUGUCUGAUUGUCUCCUUUAAGUGACUUCCUAGGUCCCAGGAUCUCUUGGUCCAGGGGCAUGUACGUUUUUAAGGCCUUCCUAUAUACUGCCUAAUUGAACUCUAAGACCGUUAUAAAAAAUGAAGCAACUCUCAGGUAGAGAUAUAUAGAAGUGACAUCUAAACUUCUGGCUAAUGUUUCUCAAACUGAGUAUUUUAGAAUUGUUCAGUUUUCUCCAAAAUGUGCUUUCUUAGGAUUGCCAGCUUGUCCAUCCAUGUGGAAAGCUGAGGGGUUCAUUAGAGAAGAGUCCUCCUCCUGUGUUUCUUCAGCUUUCUGAGCCGGGAGCAGCCCCUGCUUAAACAGUGCCCGCUUCUCAUUAAUGUCUCCAGGGCUCUUGCAAUAUCCCCAGCUCCGUUUUAAUGAGUCAGCGAUUUCCUUGAAAUGGCAUGAAGUCAAAGCAGGGCUUCCAGGCUGCCAGCACAGUGACACUGAGAAGCCAAGUCACCAAGACUAGAGCUGAAAGAGAAUCCAAGAAACCAUUUGGCCCAACUUUCUGGCUUCAGGCAAAUAAGAUGUUCCAUCAGCAGAAGAGUUUUAGAAGAUCUAGACAGCCUUUGGCAAGGAAUGGUGUCUCUCUAGUCAUUGUGUUAAGCAAAAAGAGAAAACGCUGUACAAGGAAAGCAAAUUGCAGUUAAAAUUAAAGUGUUAUCCCUAUGAAGGAACAGUCCAUCGAAUGGUACCUACAUCAGGACAAGACUUUCCCCUAUUCAUUACCUGUUUCUAAUUUGUCUCCAGUGUCAACUCUUUUCCCCAAAAACUAGGCUAACAAUUGCCAUCAAUUCACUUGGCACAGAGUGUCCUAUUGCCAAGGUGUUAAAAAAAAUAUAUAUUUUUUUAAAAAUUUAAUUUUCUCUACAAAGAAUGUUUAAAUAACAAGAGAAAGUCACCAUCUUAACACAUAUCCUACCAUUUUAAAACAACCACUUUUAGCAUCUUGGUGCAUUUUGGUCUUUUGGGGGUAUAGUCCAGAAAAAUUGCUUUUGGUCCAAGUAUCCCUAUACAGUACUUUAGUUUGCUUUUUCCGUUAAUAUUGCUUCACAACAAUUUUCAUGUGAUUAAAAAUCUAUAAAACAUUAUUUUUCAAUGACUGAAUACCAUAAUUUACCCAACAUUUCCCAAUUUUUUAUUAUAAAUAACAUGGUGGUAAAGACUUCCAUGUGUAGAACAUUCUCCACAUUUUGGAUUAU